AUUGAACGCUGGCGGCGUGCUUAACACAUGCAAGUCGAUCGGUAACGCGGGGGCAACCCUGGCGACGAGAGGCGGACGGGUGAGGAACGCUUGGGAAUCUGCCCUUCAGCGGGGGACAACACGGGGAAACUCGUGCUAAUACCGCAUACGCUCCACGGAGGAAAGCCGGGGACCGCAAGGCCUGGCACUGAAGGAUGAGCCCAAGUCGGAUUAGCUCGUUGGCGGGGUAACGGCCCAACAAGGCGACGAUCCGUAGCUGGUCUGAGAGGACGAUCAGCCACACUGGGACUGAGACACGGCCCAGACUCCUACGGGAGGCAGCAGUGGGGAAUAUUGGACAAUGGGGGAAACCCUGAUCCAGCGACGCCGCGUGGGUGAAGAAGGCCUGCGGGUUGUAAAGCCCUUUCGGUAGGGACGAAAGCUCUCGACCUAACACGUCGGGAGGUUGACUUAACCUACAAAAGAAGCACCGGCUAACUCUGUGCCAGCAGCCGCCGCCGUAA
rnacentral:rRNA from 1 species